CAUGUUUCAGUUGAUAAGAGAGUGUUACUAUCACAGGGGGAAAUUAUGUCAUGAGCAACCAAAGCAUUUUCCUCUGAUUAAUUGAGCCGUAUCAUGCAACCUCUGCUGAUAAUGGCUGCUGCGAUAAAGUCUGCUCCGUUGGUACCCUGGUACUCUAAUCCAAUGCCCUGGCACAUACUUACGUUUCCAUGGCGAGCUUUUUUUCCACUUCGUCACACAGAACCAACAUCUUUCCGUUGCAAGAGCUUUGAAAUCCCACAUCCUCUCAUUUAUCUCUGGUCCAUGGGAUUAAUAUGAUAUAAAGUAACAUCUUUUCACACAUCAGGGUGGAAAAGCUCAGAGUAUUCUUCAUCUUUGUCUGCUUUAAUUAUGAGCAGGGGCUCUCAAAGAAUCAAAACCACAGCUUUCUGCAUUGCAAAUGGUAAAUCGGUCUUUAUUUGAAAUAAAAAGCCAGAAAAGUCAUGAUGAAACAGGUUGGAUUAAUGAUCACCGCUCACAGAUUACUUUGUAGCUGCAUUGUUUGAGCGGUGACGGUGGAGCGACCUGACCCCGCUCCUGUCUCCAAACAGCUCCCAGGUGAAGCUGACACAAGCCACCGUGCCCAAACACAGAUAAUCAGAUCCACCCGGGUCACACCCAAAACCAAAUUCCACGAAAGGCAUUGUACAAAUAUGAGGAUCAGUACCGAGCAAACUCGUCACACGCGUGAACAUGCACACUCUGCAGCCGUUUUGGAUUGAGAAGACAUUUUUCUAUCAGCUUCGAGAGGUGAGAGCUGCAGAACUUUGGCGUGUUUUAAAGGCUUUGGUGGGUUUUGUUAGGCAAAAUAAAAUGCAGCAUAAAUCAAAUGUUUCAAAGCAAGCAUAUCUAAGCAUAGCAGGGCUUGUUUCAUCAAAGUCAGUUCUGGAACGCCGAACAUUUCCAAACCUUUUUGAUUUUGUCAUGUUACACACUUCAAUGGGAAUGUUAUGUAAUGAAUCUACAACAUGUAUAGUGCAUAAUUGCAAAGCGCAAAAUGAUGUUUUAUGGUCUCAUAAGUAUUUUAUAUAUGAACAUUUUAAAACAGGGAACAGUUUAAGAGGGACUAGAGUGAAAACAAAAAUACCUGCCACACUUUUCAGAUUUAUUGUGUUUAAAAAAUAUGUUUUAAAAGUAGUACAUAUGUUUCUAAUGUACAUUUAUGUACUACUUUGUGUUGGUCUGUCACAGACAAUCCAGAUAAAAUACACCAUACAUGUGUUGCUGACUAAAUACAACAAAGUUGAAGAACUGUGAAAUCUUCCACUAGGCACUAGGUUGACAUUUCACUAUUUGGUUUCAGUGGUGACCCUCAGCAUGCCAGUUUGUUCAGCUCAGCACAGGGUUAAUUAUAUCCAGCCCCGCUGCCUAGCAGGGAGACACACUUUUAGCACAGCAGUGAUGCUGACAGCGAGCUCUGACUCUGAGUCACCUGUUUGGUUCAGUGAAGAGCUUCACUUCACUUCUGCUUGCCUCGGCUCGGCUCAGAGCAGAGAGCCAUGAGAAAAAGACUUGUGAGGUUGUGACACACGGCUGCACACAUGACAGCAGAGCCCAACAGGUCUGGGGUAAGAGGAAAGAGGUGCAAUGAGUCAUGCAUGUAGUGGACGGCGGCCAGUGGCGAAGGGAUGGUGUGUUGCUUCUCUGAGGAGCUGUAAGGUGUUAGAAUUCAGUCAAAGAGGCGGCUUUCCCCUGCUGCACAGAUGCAGAAGUCCUGAUCUUUUACUGCGACAGCAAGAUCUCACAAUAAAAUAUCAGAAAAAUCCAGCCUAUGAUUUGAAUACAUUUUACGAAAAACAUAUCACUUUUCCAGAAAUAUAUUUCACCAUGAAAUCUUAAUAUUUCCAAUACUUGGAACAAACAUCUUUUGCCAGCAGAACAUCCAUCUGGGACAUGCAGAGAUAAUGGUCUUUAAUCAUUCUUUAUAUAACGCUGUCCAGAGUCCUGGUUCAUGUCACAUGGUCUCUUCAGGUUCUCCACAGGACAGAUAUUAUCAUGAAGACAGUGUGAGCUUCUGUAUGAUCGUCCAUUUCUGAGUUAAUCUGCUUUACGUCACUAAUCUGCUGAAAUACACAAUGAUGACAACCCAUUUUUAGUUUAUUGCUAGAGUCCUUAGGAUCUGUCUUUAAAAUCUCCAGACAAAGUUUUUUGGGCCUUUGGAGGAGAACAAGCCCACAGCACCACAGAUCUCCCACCAUGUUUAACAGCUUUUCUACAAAUUUCCACUUUUAUUGUUUUUACAGCAAAAAAAAGUGUUUUACAGCAACCACCUGAAGGGGUUAAUUUUAGGGUAAUUAGCUGCAGGCAACAUUACAAUAUUUUUCUAUGAAUUUCACAAUUACAUAGAUUUUUACAAUAGAUUUCUGUGUUUUCUACAUUUCAUGACUGUCAAAAGCACUUGAAAUAUAUGUUUAUUGAGUUAUUGUAAUUCCAUGUAUUUUCUACGGUAAUACAAUGUUUUGGAUAUUAGGGUCAGAAACUGUCGGUAUUUUACCAAUUUUUACCGUGAAAUUUACAGCCUUUUUUUUUUACAGCUCAGUCUUAACCUCAUGUAGCGUAAGCACAGGGCUUUCCAGUAGUAACCACCCAACUAUUUACAUUUGAUGAAAAGACAGAAAACUAUUUUUGUUUAGUUUUUUUUUUGUUGUUUUUUUUUUUGCAUGCCUUCAAACAUUAUCAUGUAGUCAGCAUCUAACUCUCACUAUGGAGACCUGAUAACCACUAAAAGCCUCAGCUCUUUAACAGCUUUGAAGAUUUUGCUACCUUCUGUGGCAGUAAGAUAAACUCAAGUGUGCGUUCGGAAAUGUUGCUAAAAGCUGCAGUUGCUUUAAACAUUUUUAUCUACUGCUCUCGCUGUAGUUAUGUAGACAUGUUUACAUGUUGAAAAUUGGCUUAGAAAGAUAGAUUUUUGUCUUACAUCAUGUUCACACCCCAAUGUCAUUUUUCCUCUUUUUCUGGAACAGAUCGUGUGGCAUCAGGGAUUCUGCAUACAACAAUGUUUCCAUUCAAUAAAUGUGCUCAAAUAGGCUUAUUCAUAUUUUUUUUCUUUCUUCAAAAAUAAUCUGCAGCAGCCAAUAAGAACUGGCCAUCUUUGAGUCAAGACUGCUUUCAGAUCAACCUACUUCAAAAGCCCUUCUAACUGGUCUCUGUCCUUGUAAAACACAAUCCUUACACUCAUCUUUUUCUCAUCCCCUUUAAAACAAUAACUGAGGUCCCUUGUGCGACGACUGGUUCCGUUUAAGAUCCGACACAUCUGCUGAGGUUGCAACGCUUUUAUUCUUUCGACAAGACAUUGAGCCAAAGAGCAGACUGAAAUAUGUUGAGAGUACCUUGAGAGGUGAGUAUCUUUUAUCUCAAUCCAAAUGUGAGAUGUCAUUUAGAGCGAAACACAUCUGCUUCUUUCUGUUCUUCCUGCGUCUCCGCUCCAUAAGCCCUAUGAGUGCAAAUAGGUUUUAUUAAAAUGCCUGCAGGUAAACAGCAGCUUUACAUAUACAACUGGCUCGGCAAGGAAGAAAAUGCGAAAAGAAAUAACUCAUCCUGGCAUCCUGCAUUCCAGCAUCCCUCCUUUGGUGCAGGUGGAUGCAUCUUUGUAUUCCUGCACAUCAUGACUUCAUCUUCUAGGACUUUCUAGGUCAAAUGCAUUGCUGGUCUUUGGAUCUGUGUCAAGCAUUUAGUGCUUCACACUGUCCACAUCUGACAGAAACACUUAAACUUCUUCUAGCUGGCCUCUCUGAGCACAUGUGGACAACAUGCUCCUUCUCGUAAUUUCCAUGAGGCAUCUGUCAUAAAAAAAUGAACUCUGCAUGAUACCUGCUUUCCUCCUGCGUGAGUUUUGUCUAUUUGUUUUGAUCACUGUUUGUAACUGGGAACUUUUUUUUUUUUUAGAAACGAAUAAACCUUCAACAAACAUGGAUGUUUAUUGGUCAUAUGAUACAGUUGUACUGCUACACUGCAAAAUACAAACAAGUUUGUUCGUACGAACACUGCUUGUAACCUACAGACUGAUUCAUGAGCUACGCCAAAGUGAAUCCUCACAAACUCACAACAUAUGAACACGUUGAAAGCUCAAAUACAAAAAGAAUACAUAAAUAAACGAGCCGCAUUAACGGUAACGGAAGGAUAAUAAAUAAUAAUAAAGUGAAAAGGGCAUUUGCCCUAUUGAUGUCCACAUUACUACAUAAAGACUGAGCUGAAUUUGCAGUCCACAGCCUGCCCCCUAGUGGUGCAUUCCGCCUCAUGCCGUUUGCUGUCUAAUAAGAUGAUAGUUUCAGGUUUUGUGUUGAAAACAUUGGAUAUGUGCUGCAGGCAAAGUGAUAAAAACGGGUGAACACAGAAAACACUAAACAUCAUGUCAGCAACAAAUACUUCCGGAAUAGUUCCAAAAAAAAGUUGCAAACAUGACUCAAGUAAUUUGUUUUCACGUCCAAUUUUUAGACACAAAGAAUUACUAAAACAUUUCCCCCUGUUCCAUAUGGGACAUCUGAACAAACUAUGUCAUUUUAACAUCAUUUUCCAGCUUUAGCUUCUUUAUGUACUGAGCCCAAGGACACCGGAGAAAGAAAGAAAAAAAGAUAAAACGUAGCUU